AUCUGAAUCUGAAUAAUAUGUGAGUUACACAAUAUAAAAAACAAGCAUAAUAUAGUAUUUUCACUUCACUACCCUUGAGGAUAGGGCACUCAUGGGUAAGCUUAUCCAAUUUAAAUCCACUUAUUAGUGCUGCACACACACACGCAUUAGACUCUAUUAUUCAGGCUGAGUGUCUGGACAAAAAGAUCAAUCAGGUUCAAUGGAUCAACAUGAUGAACCUCAUCACUCCAUACUUUCAUCUCUCUGUCUCUCCCCUCCUUUUAUCCUCCAACUCUGCAUUUUCUCAUGCUGUCCAUCUUUAUUUUGUUCACUCUUAAUGCUCUUUAUUGUCUACAUCCUCCUCAAUUCUUUCCAGCCGUCUCUCCCUCUUGCUUGACCUUUUCUGUGGUGUUUUAAUGGCAGCUUAGAAUACGUCUGGCCAUGUGGGCACAGAGAUAGAGAACAAACACACACACACACACACACACACACAAUGAUAAAACCUUUGUCCAUGAUUACUCCUGAAGAGACUUUUGUUGUGUCAGAUAAACUAAUCCAGAUUGGAUCACAAAAGAGCAUGUAUUAUGAUUCCAGAGCUUUCACUGGAAGAUUCUCAGGCAUUUCAUUCCAGCUCAUAUAGAUGAUAAUUGUGUGUGUGUUGUGUGUAAAUGUGUGUAAUGGUGUGAUUCUUUACCCCUACCCGGCCAUUUCUCAGCAUGAGUGUUUCAAUAUGGCAGGCCCUCAGUGCAGUACGUGUGUGUGUGUGUGUGUGUAUCAGUGUUUGUGUGUAUAAUUGGGGUAAUUUCUUUAUUACACUAAUAAAUCACUCAGUAAACGGCAUGUCUAAAAUGUCACUGUUUAGUGUCUAUUUGUCCAGCACUUCCCCCUUCUCUUUCACUCUGUCUUCACUCCUCCUCUCUCCACCUGUGAACAGCACUCACAACUGUUCCUCAAAGUCAGUGACUCUCAAGCAGAGGGUAAUCAUCUACAUCAACUCCUUCACUGAGAUAAAGUUUGUGAGAUUAACCCUUCAAGGGCAGAAGGAGCAGAUAAACAGAGGUAUCUGUAUGUGUGCACUUUCUGCUUUAUCUUGCAACUGGUUUAUCUGAUUUACAGCUCAAAAUAAGUCAUUGUUGGAUAUAUUUAGCUGUCACUUGAGGUUUUUGGAGUUAUUUGCUGAAAUGUGCCUGCAAUGGAGGUAUUUGAAAUCUCUAAAUAUCCAUUCUAAAGUUAUCUCAGAAGAAUGUGCAGAAUUUUGAAAAACCUCCAUGUUUUUGUUUUUUUGUUUUGUUUUUUUCUCUUCAUAGUGUCUGUGUAGGAAUGGCAGUGUGAAGAGAAAACAAGAGAGAACAAGACAAAAACAGUUUGCACAUCUGUGAUUGAAUGGCAAGACGAACUGUGCACCCAAACUGUGUGUAUUUCAUUUUAUUCUGCCUGAAAGAAAAAGAACAUUCCUAAGAUACUCUGUCUCUCUCUCUUUCAAGCAGUGUCUGUUUUAUGAGGUGAGACCUUAUAGAUGGGGUGAGCAGGCAAAUGCCAAAUCAGAAGAAGAGAGUAUGAAGGAGAAAAAGAAACUCCAUUUAUAUUCAAGGAGGAAGAGAGAAGCAGAUAAUUCUAGGCACACAUCCUUGGCAAAGGAAACAGACAGGAACAUCUUAAAAUGAGCAAGCGAGAAUGAAGAGCAUCAUAUCUGCAUGUCUUCUCUCCAGUUAUAGAGGGUGGAACAUAAUCAGUUGAUAAAGACUUUUAGCUUUUUUCGUCCCCUGCGUGUGUUGCAAUUCUGUGCCUCAGUCACUGAACUUUGUUGCAGCAGAUAUUCUGAGACUGAACUUUUAGAAUUCAGAAUCAGCACUGCCAAAAAAUUGCUGUUAGAAAAUAAGAACAAACCCGCAAACGAAACAAAGUACAUUAAUAUUCCGUAUGUGUAAAUGUUGUUAUAUUGUUCAUACACUCUGGAAACAUUUCUUAACAUUGUGUGGCAUAAUUUAUUUAAAAAAUGUUAAACAUUUACUAGAUAUACUAGGAAAAUACUAGAAUUAAAAUUACCAUUCAAAAGUUUUUUUAAUGUUAUGCUCACCAUGGCUGAAUUUAUUUGAUCAAAACACAGUAAAAGUAUUGUUACAAUUUAAAAUAAAUCUUCUCUAUUUAAGUAUUCAAAAUGUAUAAAAUAUAUUUUAACAUGUAAUGUAUUCCUGUGAUGGAAAAGUUGCUAUUUGUUGAUCCAGUGCUCAGGAAACAUUUCUUUUUAUAAUCAAUGUUGAAGACAGUUAUGCUGCAUAAUAAUUUUGCAAUAGCAAAGUAAAAAAAAAAAAAAAACAGCAUUCAUUUGAAACAGAAAUCUUUUGUAACAUUAUGAAUGUCUUUUUAUCCAUUUAAAGUGUCCUUCAUGACUAAGGUAUUACUUUCUUUAAUACUAUUAUAAUAUUUAAUGACUUAUAUAAAAUACUUUUAUGUAACAUAUAGGACCUAUAUUUUUGCAGUAUGAUUAUAAGCGACUUUGGUGGUUUAUGUUACAUUGAGGUUAAAGAAUAUCCCAAUGCCCCGAGUGAUGUGACUGCUCAGCCCACCCUCCCUAUGAAAACACAUUCAUCUCUAAAAUCAAAC
ensembl:lncRNA